rnacentral:rRNA from 1 species
CCUACGGGUGGCAGCAGUGGGGGAUAUUGCACAAUGGGGGAAACCCUGAUGCAGCGAUGCCGCGUGAAUGAAGACGGCCUUCGGGUUGUAAAGUUCUAUCACAGGGGACGAAAAUGACGGUACCUUGCAAGAAAGCUCCGGCUAACUACGUGCCAGCAGCCGCGGUAAUACGUAGGGGGCAAGCGUUGUCCGGAUUUACUGGGUGUAAAGGGAGCGUCGGCGGGAAGAAAAGUUGAAUGUGAAAUCUAGGGGCUCAACCUAGGGCUGCGUUUGAAACUGUGCUUCGUGAGUGAAGUAGAGGCAAGCGGAAGUCCUAGUGUAGCGGUGAAAUGCGUAGAUAUUAGGAGGAACACCAGUGGCGAAGGCGGCCUACUGGACUUUAACUGACGUUGAGGCUCGAAAGCGUGGGUAGCAAACAGGAUUAGAUACCCUUGUAGUC